CAUGGAUGCGCUAAUGGACGACAUGGAUGACAAGGCAAGUGCCGUCCUACAUGCUCUGGGUGUCUUGAGGAGCUGGUCGUUGGAUGAUUUUUUUUUUUCAGGUCUUUUUUUCUGGUAAAGAUUAUCCUUACAGUGAAGUAAAAUAAUUUAACAGACAGAUUGACAAACAACUGACGAAAGAAGAGAGACCAUUCAAUAGUCCCUUUAUUUAUCAGGGGUUGCCACAGCAGAAUGAACCACCAACUUAUGCAGCAUAUGUUUUACACCGUGGAUACCCUUCCAGCCGCAACCCAGUACUGGGAAAUACCCAUUUACACUCAUACACUUGAACAUGGGGAGAACAUUCAAACUCCACACAGAAAUGACCACUGGCCAAGCCGGGGCUUGAACCAGCAACCUUCUUGCUGUGAGGCGACGGUGCUAACCACUGUGCUGCCCCAUGUGCUCUAUGCGGGUGAGUGGGAUUGACAAACCACCUGGAGGACACACUCUUGCUUUCUUAAUGCAUGUUUCAUGUUUAUUUAUAUAACUGCUAUUUUAUCUCAUAGCACUUCAUUUUUGUCUUAAUAUUUAAUAUCUUUUGUUUAAAUACACCAUGAACAGCAGCUGCGCUAAUUAUUUUCCUUGUUCCCUAUUUCCACCUGGGGAUAUUUAUCUAGAGGCUUCUAGAGAUCGUGACCUGUGAAGAGAUGAUGCCACCAUAGAGGACUUCUAGAUGUAUCCAUAAUCCUGAAACAGACCGUAUCAUGAGCAGAUGCAGUGGUGGUCAUGGAGAAGUGGAGAG
ensembl:processed_transcript